AACGAACGCUGGCGGCAUGCCUAACACAUGCAAGUCGAACGAUCCCUUCGGGGAUAGUGGCGCACGGGUGUGUAACGCGUGGGAACCUGCCCUUAGGUUCGGAAUAACUCAGAGAAAUUUGAGCUAAUACCGGAUAAUGUCUUCGGACCAAAGAUUUAUCGCCUUUGGAUGGGCCCGCGUUGGAUUAGCUAGUUGGUGGGGUAAAGGCCUACCAAGGCGACGAUCCAUAGCUGGUCUGAGAGGAUGAUCAGCCACACUGGGACUGAGACACGGCCCAGACUCCUACGGGAGGCAGCAGUGGGGAAUAUUGGACAAUGGGCGAAAGCCUGAUCCAGCAAUGCCGCGUGAGUGAUGAAGGCCUUAGGGUUGUAAAGCUCUUUUACCCGGGAUGAUAAUGACAGUACCGGGAGAAUAAGCCCCGGCUAACUCCGUG
rnacentral:rRNA from 1 species